rnacentral:misc_RNA from 1 species
UUUCCGUAGGUGAACCUGCGGAAGGAUCAUUACCGAGUAUCGGUACCCUUUUGGGUACCUACUCCCACCAAUUGUGAACCUUUUUCGUUGCCUCGGCGGACCGAUGGUACCCCCAUCCUUCGGCGUAAAAGUUGAAGAGUGUCUGCCAGAGGAUUUUCAAACCAGUCUUAACAGUGAAAUCUGAGUUUUAAACAAAUAAAAACAAAACUUUCAACAACGGAUCUCUUGGUUCUGGCAUCGAUGAAGAACGCAGC